AUACGGAGGGUGCAAGCGUUAAUCGGAAUUACUGGGCGUCAAGCGCGCGUAGGCGGCUUAUUAAGUCAGAUGUGAAAUCCCCGGGCUCAACCUGGGAACUGCAUCUGAUACUGGUAAGCUAGAGUUUUGGAGAGGGAAGUAGAAUUUCAGGUGUAGCGGUGAAAUGCAUAGAGAUCUGAAGGAAUACCAGUGGAGAAGGCGACUUCCUGGCCAAAAACUGACGCUGAGGUGCGAAAGCGUGGGUAGCAAACAGGAUUAGAAACCCCAGUAGUCC
rnacentral:rRNA from 1 species